UUCGAGCACAGAGAGAGAGACCAAACGAGUGAGCGAGCAAGUGAGAGAGAGAGAUGCGAGCAGUGAGUGAGUGCACGAUGUGAGGAAGAAGAGAUUGCUCGUGCCCGUGCUCAAGCUGCCGUCGUCGUCGCCGCCGGUCUUCGUUGCUGUUGAGCCAAGCCCGAGCUUUCGGUUUUGCUUGCUGUCAAACUAAGGAAUUAGAGGCAAGUAGAAGUUCAUCAAUCUAUGUGAUGUAGUGCUGUUGCUGUCUAGUGUAGUGCAAUAGACUUGAGGAAGGGUUGAGAUGAAAACUAAAUGCCAAUUUGUGGAGGAUUGAAUGUGAAGUUGCUGUCUUGUGUUGGAUUGAGCUAGAUAAGUUCUAGAUUGAGGCUAUAAGUCAUUGCAUGUUGCAUUUGAGGCUUGCAUGUCUCGAAAUCUAAUUGUAAGUGAGCUAUGAUUGUUGAGUGAGGUGUAAUGGUGUGUGCCGAGUGAAGAAAAGGUGAUGCGUGUUGAGUUACAUGAGCCGAGAUGUGAGUACGUGCUUUGUACCGAGUUGUGAAGGAUUCUAGGUGAGUGAAAAUGUACUAUGACUACUCCUAGAUGCCGUGUAAGUGUG
rnacentral:lncRNA from 1 species